CAGACAAGGUCACACCUCUUGUAUACGAUAAUUCGGGGGAUGUGACAAAGGUGGUAUCGGAGCAUGAUUUAAGGAUUACAAAAAUAUUUUAUUCAUUUGAUGUGAAAAAUUAUAUUGAGGUUUAGUAAAUUAUAUAGAGAUCGAUGAAAAUUAUACUUGAUGUCUUCUAGGAAUCUAGGAUGACAUCGACAUUUGGUCUUCUUGCUUAUGAAUUGUGGAUUAUGGGUGUGAAUUAUGAAUUGAACGAUUUUUGGUGUCCCCAAAUUUAGUUUGGAUUUUGUAUUAGAUUGUUGAUUAAAUUUUAAUAUUAUGGAUUUUAAGACAGGGUCACACCUCCUAAAUUUGAUAAUUCGGGGGGCGUGACAGAGGUGGUAUCAGAACAUUAUUUGAGGAUCACUGUAAUAUAUUUGAUACAUUUGAUGUGCCAAAUUAUAUUGCGAUUUAGUAAAUUAAAUAGAGAGCGAUAAAAAAUUUCUUUGAUAUCUUUUAGGAACCUAGGAUGCCAAGGACAUCUGGUCCUCUUGAGGAAUGAAGUAGGAAAGGUAAUGAAAUCGUAUUUUUAAAUUUUAGAGGAUGGCUUAUUGCGAUUUGGUAUAGAGUGUUUGUUCGAAAUGACCCAAAUUAUGAUUUGAAUAUUAAGAGAAAAGGACAUGACUCAAUGAUAUCGAUGGCUCUAUCUAUGUGCAAUCUGAUCUCAUUCAACAAAUUUAGAUAGGACAACUAUGAGAUCCAAAUAUAAUCUACUUGAGGAAUGAAGUAGAAAAGGAAUUUAAGUCGAAUUUCAAAUUUUGGAGGAUGGCCUUUUUAGUUUUGGAAUAGAGUAUGUGUUCUAAAUGACCCAAUUAUCAAUAACCAAAUCCUAAAACAAGGUAAUAAUUCAAAGUAUAUGAUAAUCCGGAUUAGAUUGUUGAUUACAUUUUUAUUUUAUGGAUUUUAAGACAAGCUCGCACCUCUUGUAUGUGAUAAUUUGGGGGGCGUGACAAAAGUGGUAUCGGAGCAUGAUUUAAGGAUUACUAUGAUAUUUGAUUAAUUUGAUGUGCAAAAUUAUAUUGAGGUUUAGUAAAGACAUCUGGUCCUUUUGAGGAAUGAAGUAGGAAAGGUAGUGAAGUCGAAUUUUUAAAUUUUUAAGGAUGACUUAUUGAGAUUUGGGAUAGAGUGUGUGUUCGAACUGACCCAAAUUAUGAUUUGAAUAUUAUGAUAAAAGGGCAUGACUUAAUGAUUUUGAUGGCCUCUAUAUAUGUGCAAUCUGAUCUCUUUCAACAAAUUUACAGACAGCAACUAAGAGAUACACAUUUAAUCUACUUAUGGAAUAAACUAGAAAAGGGAUUGAAGUCGAAUUUUUAAAUUUUGGACGAU
rnacentral:lncRNA from 1 species